rnacentral:lncRNA from 1 species
AAACAUACUAUACUAACACUAACAAUACUAAAGAGGGAAGCUUUUGAUUUUUCCUUUUUUUUUAACUUUUCUUUACCAUGUACUGGGAAUUUUUUUUAGAAUGUCUUUGCGAAUUUCCGUGGCAGUGAUAGUCUCCUUUGUAACUAAAAUUUGUGAAGAUAGGCUUAAUCGGUGCAAUCUGAAGCCCGUACAAGUAUCUAGAGCACCCGACUGCUUUGGUCCAUAUACUAUAACACUAAAACCCUGUUUGGUUGCGCAGAAUUCGCCGCGGAAUUGAAUUGGCAAUGGAAUACCAAACGAACGAUUUGAAUGGAAUUCCAGUUUUGCUGUUUGGAUGCGCAUGGUAUUCGUCCGUAGAAUCAAGGCUGGAAUGGAAUUCCAAAUCCUGUUUGGAUGUACAUCAUGUGGAAUUGUAAUUUUUUGGAACGGAUGUGGACUAUGCAGGGAGGGGCUGGCCAGGGGUAGGUGCGGCGGCGGGUCAG